rnacentral:rRNA from 1 species
CCCUUAGAUGUUCUGGGCCGCACGCGCGCUACACUGAUGGAUUCAACGAGUUUCUUCCUGGUCCGAGAGGAAUGGGUAACCUUUUGAAAGUGCAUCGUGAUAGGGAUAGACUAUUGCAAUUAUUGGUCUUCAACGAGGAAUUCCUAGUAGACGUAGUUCAUCAGACUGCAUCGAUUACGUCCCUGCCCUUUGUACACACCGCCCGUCGCUCCUACCGAUUGAAUGCUCAGGUGAGCCAUUCGGACUUUCAUCAUGCUGGUUUCCAGUUUUGAUGAAGGAAAGUCUUGCGAACCUUAUCAUUUAGAGGAAGGAGAAGUCGUAACA